rnacentral:rRNA from 1 species
UACGUAGGGGGCUAGCGUUGUCCGGAAUCAUUGGGCGUAAAGCGCGUGUAGGCGGCCCGGUAAGUCCGCUGUGAAAGUCGGGGGCUCAACCCUCGGAUGCCGGUGGAUACUGUCGGGCUCGAGUACGGAAGAGGCGAGUGGAACUCCUGGUGUAGCGGUGGAAUGCGCAGAUAUCAGGAAGAACACCAACGGCGAAGGCAGCUCGCUAGGACGGUACUGACGCUGAGACGCGAAAGCGUGGGGAGCGAACAGG